GGAUGUAAGGGCAAUCUGGCUGGGAUAUCUGUGACCCCAUUGGUGGCCAGCAUUGAUCCAGCUGAUCUGGCUGGUUGGGCAGGUGUCCUCUUCCUUUCUCACCACUCCACAUGCAUCCCUCCUGAAGCUGAGUGCUUGGUUGGAGAGGACGACCUUCCCCAACAGAGCAGCACCAUUAUUCUUCAGUCAAGGGUAGAUGAGUAGCUGCACUUCCCUGCUAGAACCUCUAAACAAGCUCUCAGAAUAGAUCGCUGAUGCAGUUCUUUCUCAGUUGAUGGAUUUAAUUCAGCCAGCAUUUAUAGAUCACCUGCUGGAUGCUUGUGACU
ensembl:misc_RNA 7SK 7SK RNA